rnacentral:rRNA from 1 species
GAUGAACGCUAGCGGCAGGCUUAAUACAUGCAAGUCGAGGGGCAGCACGAAUAGCAAUAUUUGGUGGCGACCGGCGCACGGGUGCGUAACACGUAUACAACCUACCUAUAACAGGGGGAUAGCCUUUCGAAAGAGAGAUUAAUACCCCCGUAAUAAAUUGAGUGGCAUCACUUGAUUUUGAAAGCUACGGCGGUUAUAGAUGGGUAUGCGUCUGAUUAGCUAGUUGGUGAGGUAACGGCUCACCAAGGCGACGAUCAGUAGGGGAUCUGAGAGGACUAACCCCCANACUGGUACUGAGACACGGACCAGACUCCUACGGGAGGCAGCAGUAAGAAUAUGGUCAAUGGAGGCAACUCUGAACCAGCCAUGCCGCGUGCAGGAUGACGGCCCUAUGGGUUGUAAACUGCUUUUGUACCAGAGAAAAACCUACUCACGUGUGAGUAGCUGAUAGUAUGGUAAGAAUAAAGCAUCGGCUAACUUCGUGCCAGCAG